GUGAAUCAUCAAAUCUUUGAACGCAAAUUGCGCUUCCUGGCAUCCCGGGAAGUAUGCCUGUUUGAGGGUCAGUAUUAAUAAGAACUCGGUUUAGUUACAAUUUGUGCCGUUUUCGGAGUUUGGGCUAUCUUAACAUUUUUGGCCUAGAGGUUUCAAAUUGAUCUUUUUCGCGCAUUCUUAACCGUACACAAAUUUUUUUUAUUCGUCUAUUCUUAAUGCCAAAAUCUUAUUAGAUGCGAUCACAUCGUGUGGUUUUGUGUCCAUAAAUUUUUCAUGAUUUG
rnacentral:misc_RNA from 1 species